AGGGGGCGCACGGCAGGGCAGGGAGAGGGCCCGGACUCAUGAUACCAUGUAGAGAAUUGGCAAACACCACACACCCUAGGAAGGGGGGUGACCUUUUAUUAUAUAGGCCGUAUAUGUUUGGGUUACAAGAAACACAAUACAAGCACAAUACAAACUCUAUAUAUCUAACAGUCAAGACAAAGAAAUGCAAGUGUAGACAAGAUGGAUGUUGCAGCCCCUCAUAAAUACGUGAAGCUGUCUAACAGCAUAUGAAUAGGACUGUAAUUGUUUCUAGCAUAAGAUGGUCACACUUGUGUCCCAGGCAGAUGGUGCCAUGCUUGCAAUGCUGGCAAGAGACCUUAAACUAUAAGGCUAGCCUCAGUACACAGUUUCAUGAUACAGUUACCUAGACUGGGGAACUAGGUAAUGUGUCAGAUGAGUCUCACAUUGAUGACAUGUGGGACUUAUGUGGGUCUGGAAAACAUGGAUCCCACACGUCAGUGACUCAAUGUCACGGGGAAUGUUACCGUGGCAAUGUCACUAAAUCUCAAUCCCCAACGGCCAGCGCAUUGACUCCCGCCUGUUCCGUGUGGGAGGGAGGCAGCACCUGACAUCUGCGCAUACAGCUUUAUCACGGAAGUCUGGAGAUGGGAAGCCAGUGCCGUCUUACAGCUUUAUCACGGUAGUCUGGAGAAAUCAGGGCACAGGCACCUGGGGAUGUUAAUGUAUCACCCCUUAAUAAAUGCGUGUGCACCAGGAUUCGAACUCGUGACCUGUGGCCUCGCGUGUAGUCUCCUCUACCAUCCCACCCACACAACACAUGUGAGUGGAUAAAAGAUGCUAUCCUUUUGAAGUAAUUUGGGCAGACCAUUUAAUACAGGACCAUACCACCACCUAAUACUCAAUGCCACAAUUUAGUACCGGGUGCUAUCAAAAACCGAUACUAGUUAUCCCCCAGCAGCCAUUUAGUACUGGACCAUAACAUCAAUCGGUACUAAAUGGUGACAUUUAGUACCUCUGUACAGCAGUCAUGGAAAAAGAUGGCUUUGAGUACUUAACAAGUACCUGCCCCAGGGUUCUGAAGGAGCUAGUGUCUAAGGUGUGAGUUGCAGAUCACGGCUGUGGGCGUGAGGUUUCGCUCAUAGCAUUUUCUACCUGUGAAGAACAGAUAUAUAUUCUGCUAUAUUAUACACUGGCCUUAAUUGUAUUUAGUUUUCCCCAAGAGAACGCAAGGUACCUCAGUCAUUAUUGGUUUCGUUGUCGUGCCGUUUGCGUAGAACUAUUAUGGUGACAAGCUAUGCCCAAAUCAAGAAGCAUCUACACUAAAUUGAUACAGUUCCUCUGAGCGUUGCAUGUAUCAAUAUUGGUGAAACAGCAACAUCUAUCAUUUUAAAUUUUUCCGAAUUUUGUAAUAAAAUCAAAGAAUGCCAUAGAAUAGCCAAUGAAGUGAGAAAAACCGAUAACAAGUUUCUAUUUGACAUUAUUUCAACCAAGCAGAAUUUAAAGAUAUGCAGAACCAUUUAUGAAUAUCCUGAAAUGAUAUGCUGGGAUUCUGCUUAGAUAUUUGUUUGGAUGAAGUAAAUCAUAUAUAUCAUAAUGAGCUUUUGGGACAAUUGUCCCAUUUGGAAGUUUGGAAUGGUAUUGCCAGAAAAAAAUAUAGCUUGUGGCUGAUUGGGAUGAUACCAAUACCAUGCAAAACAAGUGCAUUUAGUUCUUGGAGGGAUAAGAAACAUGACUGACGACUGUAGUUGGUGGAUAAAUAUGGAUUCUCUUUCGGUAUGUAAGUUUCUAUUGUCAAUUUUUCACUAAGAAUUUCUUAGCACAUUUUCUGCAACAUGUUAUCCGUUUCCUGAAAAUCUUGUUUUGUUGUAAAGGACGAUUGAAUUGAUGUCUUUUGUUCAGUAAUCAGAAUAAAAUGUGGCAUGCCUUCCAGGUGCAGAUAUUUGAGUGGACGGUGAGAAUAGCUUUGUAGUGAGUUUCUUUCACAUGCUGAUGCAAAGACACUUCAGGAAAAAUCUUUCAACGGGAUUCAUCAACAAGUAUAAGUUAGCUAGAACACUGUGGAGAGUAUACAUGACUGGAGUGUGCUAGCAGAGAGGAUGGUCUUUUGGCUGCAGUCAAGUUCUUUGUCUUAUCGACUACAGUGGUGCCAUGAUGGAGGCCACGGAGACAUCAUUACUCUAGAGAACUCCCAAAGACAAUAAUCUACUGCCAGCUGUCUUACAGGCUCCUCUCCAUUCCAAUCUUGCACUCUUUUCUCUUUGCCAACAUUUAUUACAUUUUAAGUUGAACAUACACUUAGGCUGUAGCCUCUUGGAGAUCAAGGCCGGGACGCUUUUUCCCAUCAUCUAAAGAAAAGUUGAACAUACACUGGUUCUCAAAUUUGUACUUUAUCUUGCAGACUGGCAAUGUAAGCCUCAGUUUUGUCCCUUGGCAAAAAUGGUGGAUCAUCACAUUCUUCCUUCUCCAUCAACAUCACCAAAACCCCAGGGUACCACCUGCUCAAGAUCGAUGGUAACUCGCUGACUAAGGUGAUCCUCAAGGCUGAGCAGCACAAGUUGCAGGGCCACGGUCGCGAAAAAAAGGUAUGCUUCGAGUUCCUCAAGUUCCCAACCAAUCUGAGCGCGGCCAUGGGGACAAUGGCUUCGACAAUCUGGCUAGCAGCUGCCUCAGCCUCCGCUCUGAAGGAGAUCAUGUCUAAGCUUGCUCUCCAUUGAAAUGGCAGGACAUAGAUGCAUGUUUCGAGAUUGUCCAGUUAAAGACUUUUCAGUCACAUAACCUAUCUAGUCCUGUGCACAUCAUCAGGAGUUUGUGAAGUUUACCACUCUGUCUAUUUUGUUUUGUUAAUUGAUUUGCAUUGUUCUGUCUUUGGACUGGAGAUCCAUCUGCCAUCUGUCUGAUGCCAAGCUAUUGUGUCGGUUGAUGCAAGUUCGUUAACUUGUCUGUGUAGUGAUGUGCUCUCAUAGUCUCAUUAGCCUGAAUGCUGGUUUUUGCGUGUGUUAUUCUGCCAGUUUUGAGUGCUUCAGCUGCAGUGCUUCCGCAAUUGCAGGCACCACAACUGCAGGGUGCUUUGUUCAGUUCAGCAGUUUCUGUAUUUGCUUUGCUGACUGGCGAAGAACCAGAAAGUAUGGAGCUUUUGGUGUACAUAGAUGUUCACACUCCUACAGUUAGGGCACCUCUAGUGUUGAGUUUUUGAGGGUGUCAGGAUGAGAGAUAAAGAGCUAGUCGAGGUGUAAUAAUCCUACACUUCAGUGUAAUACGUUGGAGCAAUUUCUUGAGUAGAUGCUAGCAGAGUACCGGGAGCCAAGAUUGCCAAAGAAUAAACAACAUGCAUGCCAUGUUGUGGGAGAGAGGAGCACAAAACCAACCAAUGAAGAGCACAGGUGGGCAGAAGGAUGAUGUGGGUCCCAUGCUGGAUGCUAAACAAUACCACACAUUGGAGCAAAUUAUUCCAAGCAAACACCUUCUUGAUGGGUUCUACCUUAGCAAAAGAACCUGCAUCAAACGUUAUAAUAUGUCCAACAAUGAGAUUACGAAAGCUCAAGAAUUGGAUUUUCUGGCACAUACAUCAGACGAAAGUACCAAUUUAUACAUGUUCUUAUAGUUUAUCUCAGUUUUGUUGCAAUAGAGUGGUUUUAUUUGUGACACCAAUAGCCUCGUGCGUACAUUAUGAUUCAUUUUACUGCCUUCUUUCUUGUAAGGCACAGUUUAAUCUAUUGUGGUCUCCAAGAAUAUAA